UCGGGAAUAUUGCGCAAUGGAGGAAACUCUGACGCAGUGACGCCGCGUAUAGGAUGAAGGUUUUCGGAUUGUAAACUAUUGUCGUUAGGGAAGAUAAAAGACAGUACCUAAGGAGGAAGCUCCGGCUAACUACGUGCCAGCAGCCGCGGUAAUACGUAGGGAGCAAGCGUUAUCCGGAUUUAUUGGGUGUAAAGGGUGCGUAGACGGGAAAUUAAGUUAGUUGUGAAAUCCCUCGGCUUAACUGAGGAACUGCAACUAAAACUGGUUUUCUUGAGUGCGGGAGAGGAAAGUGGAAUUCCUAGUGUAGCGGUGAAAUGCGUAGAUAUUAGGAGGAACACCAGUGGCGAAGGCGACUUUCUGGACCGUAACUGACGUUGAGGCACGAAAGUGUGGGGAGCAAACAGGA
rnacentral:rRNA from 1 species